rnacentral:piRNA from 1 species
UCAUCGAUGAGAUAAGGAUGCAUAGGA